rnacentral:rRNA from 1 species
GACGAACGCUGGCGGCGUGCUUAACACAUGCCAGUCGAACGGAAAGGCCCCUUUGGGGGUACUCGAGUGGCGAACGGGUGAGUAACACGUGAGUAACCUGCCCUUGACUUCGGGAUAACUUCAGGAAACUGGGGCUAAUACCGGAUAGGAAUCCUUGCUGCAUGGUGGGGGUUGGAAAGCUUCGGCGGUUUUGGAUGGACUCGCGGCUUAUCAGCUUGUUGGUGGGGUAGUGGCUUACCAAGGCUUUGACGGGUAGCCGGCCUGAGAGGGCGACCGGCCACAUUGGGACUGAGAUACGGCCCAGACUCCUACGGGAGGCAGCAGUGGGGAAUAUUGCACAAUGGGCGGAAGCCUGAUGCAGCAACGCCGCGUGCGGGAUGACGGCCUUCGGGUUGUAAACCGCUUUCAGCAGGGGCGAAGCUUGUGGUGACGGUACCUGCAGAAGAAGCACCGGCUAACUACGU